rnacentral:rRNA from 1 species
UUGGGUUAAGUCCCGCAACGAGCGCAACCCUCGACCUUAGUUGCCAGCAUUCAGUUGGGCACUCUAAGGUGACUGCCGGCUAAAAGUCGGAGGAAGGUGGGGAUGACGUCAAAUCAUCAUGCCCCUUAUGACCUGGGCUACACACGUGCUACAAUGGGCGGUACAAAGGGUCGCGAACCCGCGAGGGGGAGCCAAUCCCAAAAAGCCGCCCUCAGUUCGGAUUGCAGGCUGCAACUCGCCUGCAUGAAGCCGGAAUCGCUAGUAAUCGCGGAUCAGCAUGCCGCGGUCGAAUACGUUCCGGGCCUU